AUUCAGCUGACGAGUCCUGAAUAGGACGAAACGCGCGUCCUGGAU
rnacentral:hammerhead_ribozyme from 1 species